rnacentral:rRNA from 1 species
UUACCGCCAUCCCAGCCUGUUUAGCAGGUAUCGUCCGAUCUCAGAAGCCAAGCAGGUCGGGCCUGCUUCUUACCUGGAUGGGAGACUGCCUGGGAAUCCCAGGUGCUGUAAGCCUUUU